UUUGCAUUUAACCCAAUAAAUAAGCACGCUAAUCGAGCAAAUGCAGAAAAUGCCAGGAGUCAACAUUCAACAAUAAAACUCAAGAAACGUUGCAGAGGUUUCAUCUCAAUGGGCUUUCCUGUCUAUUUCUCCACAUAAACCCCAGAUAGUGGGUUGUAAUUAAAAUUGGAGAAAUUUGAUUUAAAUUACUUGGAAAGAUUGAAAAAGAUAAGAACAAUAAAAGGAAGAGGGAGUAGGGAUGGUGCUGGUUUUAGCAUUGGGUGAUCUCCACAUCCCCCACAGGGCACCUGAUCUGCCUGCAAAGUUCAAGUCUAUGCUAGUACCUGGAAAGAUCCAGCAUAUAAUCUGUACUGGCAAUUUGUGUAUUAAAGAGGUUCAUGACUACUUGAAGACCAUCUGUCCUGACCUGCACAUCACUAGAGGUGAAUAUGAUGAGGAAACACGCUAUCCAGAGACCAAAACUCUAACCAUUGGUCAAUUUA